UACGUAGGGUGCGAGCGUUAAUCGGAAUUACUGGGCGUAAAGCGUGCGCAGGCGGCUCUGCAAGACAGAUGUGAAAUCCCCGGGCUCAACCUGGGAACUGCAUUUGUGACUGCAAGGCUAGAGUACGGUAGAGGGGGAUGGAAUUCCGCGUGUAGCAGUGAAAUGCGUAGAUAUGCGGAGGAACACCGAUGGCGACGGCAAUCCCCUGGACCUGUACUGACGCUCAUGCACGAAAGCGUGGGGAGCAAACAGG
rnacentral:rRNA from 1 species